CCUACGGGAGGCAGCAGUGAGGAAUAUUGGUCAAUGGACGCAAGUCUGAACCAGCCAUGCAGCGUGCAGGAAGACGGCUCUAUGAGUUGUAAACUGCUUUUGUACGGGGGUAAACUCAGAUACGCGUAUCUUUCUGAAAGUAUCUUACGAAUAAGGAUCGGCUAACUCCGUGCCAGCAGCCGCGGUAAUACGGAGGAUUCAAGCGUUAUCCGGAUUUAUUGGGUUUAAAGGGUGCGUAGGCGGUCGGAUAAGUUAGAGGUGAAAGCCCGCGGCUCAACUGCGGAAUUGCCUCUGAUACUGUUAGGCUAGAGAGUAGUUGCGGUAGGCGGAAUGCAUGGUGUAGCGGUGAAAUGCUUAGAGAUCAUACAGAACACCGAUUGCGAAGGCAGCUUACCAAGCUACGUCUGACAUUGAGGCACGAAAGCGUGGGGAGCAAACAGGAUUAGAUACCCGUGUAGUC
rnacentral:rRNA from 1 species